rnacentral:rRNA from 1 species
CACCUCUAGCAUUACUAGUAUUAGAGGCACUGCCUGCCCAGUGACACGAGUUAAACGGCCGCGGUAUUCUGACCGUGCAAAGGUAGCAUAAUCAUUUGUUCUAUAAAUAAGGACUUGUAUGAAUGGCCACACGAGGGUUCUACUGUCUCUUACUUCCAAUCGGUGAAAUUGACCUUCCCGUGAAGAGGCGGGAAUAUAACAAUAAGACGAGAAGACCCUAUGGAGCUUUAAUUAACUAACCCAAUAGAAUUUAUUCAAUUAACCAAUAUGGGACAAAGUAAUUCUACAGUGGGACAGCAAUUUAGGUUGGGGCGACCUCGGAGUAUAGCACAACCCCCGAGUGAUAUAAAUCUAGACAUACCUGUCAAAACGAACUAUCAUAAAUUGAUCCAAAAAUUUUUGAUCAACGGAACAAGUUACCCUAGGGAUAACAGCGCAAUCCUAUUCAAGAGUUCAUAUCGACAAUAGGGUUUACGACCUCGAUGUUGGAUCAGGACAUCCCAAUGGUGCAGCAGCUAUUAAAGGUUCGUUUGUUCAACGAUUAAAGUCCUACGUGAUCUGAGUUCAGACCGGAGUAAUCCAGGUCGGUUUCUAUCUAUUAACCAGUCUCUCCCAGUACGAAAGGACAAGAGAGACAAGGCCCACUUCGACGAAGCGCCUUAGGACUAAUAUAUGACAUAAUCUUAAUAUAACCAGUUCAACUACACUAUUCAACCCGAGAACAGGGUUU